UAUGCAAUUUGUGGGAAAUCUGAAAAAUUUGUCUUAUUAGUUCAUAAACUUACGCAUACUGGAGAAAAACUAUAUCACUGUGAUGUUUGUAGCAAGGAAUUUUCCAAUAGUGGCAGCUUAAAAGGACAUAUACAUACACACACUGGAGAGAAAUCACAUCACUGUGAAAUUUGUGGAAAAAUAUUUUCUAACUUGAGGUGUUUAAUAAGGCAUAAUCAUACUCAUACUGGGGGAAAACCAUACAGCUGUGUUAUUUGUGGGAAAUCAUUUCCUUGUACUGAUUAUAUAUCUACUGAAAUGUUUUGUUAAUGAUGGAGAAAUUUGGAAUGUAGCUUAUAAGAUAAAGAAAUAAAAAACACAGGUACAAACAAUGUAGUAAGCAUACACAUGCACCCAGAUACGGAUUCAAAUUGUUGCACAUAUAUGGAUGCUUAGCAGAGAAAGACAAAAUGGAAUAAGAACAAGAAGAGACAUGGGAUAGAGAGUUACUGAAGAGGUCCCAGGAUGAGGGAUGAAAGAACAAAGAAACUAGAAUAAUGAUAAAUCUGAAGAGAAGACCAAAUAUAUAAAGGGUGUUUAAUUGGCAAAAUAGACCAUCAUCAAGUAUAACAAUAUUAUAACAUUUUGAUGUAAAGCCCCAUGGUUGUCAUGAGGAUACAGUGAAUAUUCAGAAAUGACACUAUUGAGUUAUUAUGGUUGUCAUGGAUCUGGUCAUGUGUUACUUGCUGAACAUGCAGACACAGGAACUGAACUUCCCUGUAGUUCUGUACUGCCAUUAUUCCUGAAAACCAUCUUAUGAUGACUCAUUUACAUUCAUUCCGAAUAAUCUUUGUAUCUUUCUCAUCAUGCAGACCCAGCCCAUAGUUAUCUUUGCACUUCUUAAGUCAACUGAUCACUUUUUUAUCAUCACAAUAACCUGAACCUCUAACGAGCUUACCCUAGUGUCAUGUUUCACUCUUGAUCCAUCAGAAUGGUCAAGGCUAGUGACUGCACUGAUUCUCUUAGGUAUAUCCACCCAUAUCCCACAUGGCCCUGAAUGCUUUACUUCAUAGUAUCACUCCAGCUGCUCAGACACAAAACAACAACUACAGUGCUUGAACCAAAUCACCCAUCCCUGCAAACUAGAUAAUCCUUAGCCAGUUCCUAAACUCUAACUGAUCUUUGUAUACCAAAAGAAUCACUACUGACUAUGAAUAAUCCUAGUACCCUCCCUCUCUCAAUCAAUGUUAUUCUGAGAGUAGUUCUGUGGAAAAGGCUCUGCAACCAAUUCCAUUAUACAAACCGUUUCUUCCCAUUCCACCAUGUACACACAGACGAAGUCCUUAAGUACCAUAGUUUGCUGCAAACUUACCAAGGCCAAUAACCCUAACAAAGUCCCUUCAGUUACUACCUCACAGAAAUAUUCUUCAUUCUCACCAAACUCUACCCUUCAAUUUUUUUUCUCUCUCUGUCUUUCUGUGUGUAUCCUGAUUAAUGUUUAACUUUUUGAUCCUGAUGAUAAGCAACUCCUGAAAGGAAAACUCCAACUUAUUACCACUUCUCAAAUGCUCAGACGUGCUGAGAGCUAGCAAACUUUGGUUACAACUAAUUGAAAUGAUACUUCUUUAUUGAUAUAUGACAGGCGAAGUAAACUGGUUAGAUUUUAAAGUCGGUGCCCUUAAAUCCAAAAAUUUAUGCGGAGGAAUUCAGUACCAAAGAAAAAUACUUUUGUUCACUUUUUGCUAUGUCUACGUUGUUUAACAGACAUAUUUCCAUUUGAAAGAAGACUUUCUGCAGAGGAUACUGCAAGUCUGCUGUGUUAGGGUAGAAAGAUUUAUCAACCAAUUAAUGUCUUCAGAAUAAAAGAAUAAAACUGAAAAUUAACUGAGAGAAUGUUUCACAAAGUCAGCAAAUGUUACAAAUGUGGUAUUUGUGGUAAAGUACUUACUACAAAAUAUAAUUUAGCUAUUCAUAAGCGCAUUCAUAUUGGGGAGAAGUUAUACCACUGUGAAGUAUGUGAGAAGGCAUUUUCUGUAAAAGCUUAUUUAACAGAACACAAACAUAUACAUACAGGAGAGAAACCGUUUCACUGCGAAAUAUGUGGAAAAUCAUUUUCUCAUAAAGGUUACGUAAAGAUACACAAACGUGUUCACACUGGAGAGAAACCAUACAAUUGCGAAAUCUGUGGCAAAGCAUUUUCAGAUCUUAGUAGUGCAAAAAGUCAUCAACUUAUUCAUACUGGAGAAAAACCAUUUCACUGUGAAAUAUGUGGAAAAUCAUUUUCUUAUAAAGGUUACUUAAAGAUUCACAAACGUACACACACAGGAGAGAAACCAUUUCAUUGUGAAAUCUGUGGUAAAGCAUUUUCACAGUUCAAUGGCGUAAGAAGUCAUCAGCUUAUUCACACUGGAGAAAAACGAUACCAUUGUGAAACCUGUGGCAAACCGUUUUCUCGACUUGGUAAUUUAAAAACGCAUAAACAUACUCAUACUGGGGAGAAGCCAUACAGGUGUGAUGAUUGUGGGAAAGGUUUUUCAACUGCAAGUGCCUGUGAAAUACACAGAGGUGUGCACUCAAAACCUUACCACUGUGAAAUCUGUGAUAAAGCAUUUUCUGUAAAAUACUCUUUAACAAUACACAAACGUCUUCACACUGGAGAGAAGCCAUAUCACUGUGAAGUAUGUGGGAAAGGAUUUACAAACAGAGGUACCUUAAUGAAGCAUAAACAUAGUCACACAGGAGAAAAACAACACCACUGUGAAAUCUGUGGGAAAGCGUUUCCUCAAAAAUAUUGUCUAAUAUUACACAAACGGAUUCACACAGGAGAGAAACCAUAUCACUGUGAGGUUUGUGGAAAAGACUUUGCUGGUAAGUGCAACUUAGUAAAUCACAAACGUAUUCAUACUGGGGAAAAACCACAUCACUGUGAAGUCUGUGGCAGAGCAUUUUCGCAAACUGGUAGUUUAAAACGACACAGACGUACUCACACAGGAGAGAAACCAUAUCACUGUUUAAUAUGUGGGAAAGAAUUUUCACUUAAGACCAGCUUAACAACACAUAACCGUAUUCAUACUAGACAAAAGUCACUGUAAUAUGAAAUUUGUGGGAAAGCAUUUUCAGAAAAAUUUGUCCUAUUGGUACAUAAACUUACUCAUACUGGAGAAAAACCAUAUCAUUGAAGUUUGUGACAAGGAAUUUUCCAAUAGUGGCAGCUUAAAAGGACAUAUACACACUGGGGAAAAACCACACCACUGUGAAAUCUGUGAUGGCUUGACUGAGAACUGGUAAGCUGGGUGGUUGCACCAGGCUCCAAUCUGAUUUGGCAUGGUUUCUAUGGUUGGAUGCCCUUCUUAAUGCCAACCACUCCGAUAGUGUUGUGGGACCUUUUUACUUGACGCCGGCAUGAGUACCAGUGAGGCAGCACAGGCAUUAGCCUUACUCGAUGCUUCUUUAUGUGUGUGUGUCUUGUAUUACCUCCUCACUGUCACUUGACAACCAGUGUUGGUUGGUUUAUGUCACCAUAACUUACAGUACCAAUAAAGAAACCAAGUGAAUAAAUACUAGAUUUGCAAAAGGCUGUACCCCAGCAUGGCCACAUUCCACUGAUGGAAAGAGGAAAAAGAUUAAUGGAAGUGGUUCCAUUUCAACUAAAACUAUAAUUACGUGAAACAUUAAUACUGAGUGGAAAUAUUCCAAUGACCCUGGGCCCAUGGCAGUACCUCCAACAGAGUAUUACUUAAACACUGUCCCAAAUAAUUGGAAUACUUUUUGGACAUAUUUUCAUUGGAAAGAAGAUUUUCUGCAGAGGAUACUGAGAGUCUGCUCUGUUAGGGUAGAAAGAUUUAUCAACCAAUUUAUGUCUUCAGAAUGAAAGAAUAAGACUGUGAAAAUUAAC